rnacentral:rRNA from 1 species
GACGAACGCUGGCGGCGUGCCUAAUACAUGCAAGUUGAGCGAUGAAGAUUGGUGCUUGCACCAAUUUGAAGAGCAGCGAACGGGUGAGUAACGCGUGGGGAAUCUGCCUUUGGGCGGGGGACAACAUUUGGAAACGAAUGCUAAUACCGCAUAAUAACUUUAAACAUAAGUUUUAAGUUUGAAAGAUGCAAUUGCAUCACUCAAAGAUGAUCCCGCGUUGUAUUAGCUAGUUGGUGAGGUAAAGGCUCACCAAGGCGAUGAUACAUAGCCGACCUGAGAGGGUGAUCGGCCACAUUGGGACUGAGACACGGCCCAAACUCCUACGGGAGGCAGCAGUAGGGAAUCUUCGGCAAUGGACGAAAGUCUGACCGAGCAACGCCGCGUGAGUGAAGAAGGUUUUCGGAUCGUAAAACUCUGUUGGUAGAGAAGAACGUUGGUGAGAGUGGAAAGCUCAUCAAGUGACGGUAACUACCCAGAAAGGGACGGCUAACUACGUG